rnacentral:snRNA from 2 species
UAGCUUUGGCAGCACACAUACUAAAAUUGGAAUGAUACAGAGAUGAGCAUGGCCCCUGCACAAAGUGACACACAAAUUCGUGAAAUGUUCCAUAUUUUU